UGCGAACUAUGUUUCCUUCCA
ensembl:piRNA 21ur-1304 ncRNA